rnacentral:rRNA from 1 species
GACGAACGCUGGCGGCGUGCUUAACACAUGCAAGUCGAGCGAGGUCCAUCCGGUGGCAACACCGGGGAAGACCUAGCGGCGAACGGGUGAGUAACACGUGAGCAACCUGCCCCGAAGACUGGGAUAACACCGGGAAACCGGUGCUAAUACCGGAUGCCCUCACCGGGCCGCAUGACCUGGUGAGGAAAUGAAUUUUGCUUCGGGAGGGGCUCGCGGGCUAUCAGCUUGUUGGUGGGGAACGGCUCACCAAGGCUACGACGGCUAGCUGGUCUGAGAGGACGAUCAGCCACACUGGGACUGAGACACGGCCCAGACUCCUACGGGAGGCAGCAGUGGGGAAUCUUGCGCAAUGGGCGAAAGCCUGACGCAGCAACGCCGCGUGGGGGAUGAAUGCCUUC